rnacentral:rRNA from 1 species
GUCUAUAGCCAUGCCACCCUGAACAAGCCCGAUGUCUGAUCUCAGAAGCUAAGCAGGGUCAGGUCUGGUUAGUACUUGGAUGGGAGGCCACCUAGGAAGACCAGGUGCUGUAGGCA